AGUGAACGCUGGCGGUAGGCCUAACACAUGCAAGUCGAACGGCAGCACAGUAAGAGCUUGCUCUUACGGGUGGCGAGUGGCGGACGGGUGAGGAAUACAUCGGAAUCUACUUUUUCGUGGGGGAUAACGUAGGGAAACUUACGCUAAUACCGCAUACGACCUACGGGUGAAAGCAGGGGAUCUUCGGACCUUGCGCGAUUGAAUGAGCCGAUGUCGGAUUAGCUAGUUGGCGGGGUAAAGGCCCACCAAGGCGACGAUCCGUAGCUGGUCUGAGAGGAUGAUCAGCCACACUGGAACUGAGACACGGUCCAGACUCCUACGGGAGGCAGCAGUGGGGAAUAUUGGACAAAGGGCGCAAGCCUGAUCCAGCCAUACCGCGUGGGUGAAGGAAGCCUUCGGGUUGUAAAGCCCUUUUGUUGGGAAAGAAAAGCAGCAGGUUAAAACCCCGCUGUUCUGACGGUACCCAAAGAAUAAGCACCGGCUAACUUCGUG
rnacentral:rRNA from 1 species